rnacentral:pre_miRNA from 1 species
CAAGUACUCCCUCCGUCUAGAAUUACUUGUCAUCAAAAUGGAUGUGUCUAGAACUAAAAUAUAUCUAGAUUCAUCCAUUUCAAUGACAAGUAUUUUCGGACGGUGGGAGUACAAG